rnacentral:rRNA from 1 species
AUGGGCAUAGAACCAUCAUUUCCAAUAAAACGUAAUGUUACUAGGAAGAAACAAUUUGAUGAACCUAAUAACGAUGAAGAAGUUCUAAAAGCUGAGAAGGCGUUCGAAGUUAAUUACUUCUUAGUUCUGGUUGAUAUUGCAAAUGUCUCUCUGAAAACCAGAUUCAAAGAACUCAAAGUGUUCAAAAGUAUAUUUGGUUUCUUACUUAGCUCAAAAGACAUGAAGUUAUUGAAUGAUGUUGAACUACGCAAAUGUUGUGCUAAGUUCGUAGAAACAUUUUCACGAAAUGGUUCAUGCGAUGUUGAGUUAGAUGAUCUUUUUUCCGAAUUAAGACUGCUGCAAAUGACCUUACCAGAAUCAGGUUUGCCAUUGCAUGCUAUGGAGAUUUUUGAGUUUGUUAGAGAUAUUGACUGUUUUCCAAAUGUUUUAAUUGCUUAUCGAAUUCUGUUCACUGUACCAAUGACCGUAGCAUCAGCAGAGCGUAGCUUUUCAAAGUUGAAAUUGUUAAAGAACUAUUUGAGGUCAACAAUGUCACAAGAAAGAUUAAAUGGUCUUGCUACUUUAUGUAUUGAGAAAGAUAAGUUGGAUGAAAUAAAUGUUGAUGCAAUAAUCGAUGACUUUGCUUCUAGAAGUGUUAGACGAAUUUCCAAGUUCUAG